rnacentral:rRNA from 1 species
GACGAACGCUGGCGGCGUGCUUAACACAUGCAAGUCGAGCGGUAAGGCCCUUUCGGGGGUACACGAGCGGCGAACGGGUGAGUAACACGUGGGUGACCUGCCCUCAGCUCUGGGAUAAGCCUGGGAAACCGGGUCUAAUACUGGAUAUGACUCCAUGACGCAUGUUGUGGGGUGGAAAGCCUUGUGCGGCUGAGGAUGGGCCCGCGGCCUAUCAGCUUGUUGGUGGGGUGANGGCCUACCAAGGCGACGACGGGUAGCCGGCCUGAGAGGGCGACCGGCCACACUGGGACUGAGACACGGCCCAGGCUCCUACGGGAGGCAGCAGUGGGGAAUCUUGCGCAAUGGGCGAAAGCCUGACGCAGCGACGCCGCGUGAGGGAUGACGGCCUGGUGUAAC